UUAUGCCUACCAGAUGCAUUUGAAGUCACUGUUGGCCUCAAGUGUUCGGAAUAUGAGUCAAAACGGUACACUGAAAGGAAAUUCACGGUUAUAAUGCAGGGUUCUCACUGUCCCGCCUACCCCUACAGUAAGGAUCAGACCGUGAUUCAAAUCGUACACUGAAAUGAAUUGCAUUGUAAGCCGCACGUUAUUUGAGUAGUUAAACUUACAUUACAUGGUUGUCGUUAAAAAUAGCAUAAAAUCAUUAAAAUUAACUGCCAUUUCAUUGUAUUGAGAAUGUUUAUAAUCAUCUAAAUAUGUUAAACCUAACGACAAGCUGUAGUCAAAACAAACAUGCAAUUUGACAACAUUUUAUAGUAUAAACAACUACAUUAGUUUUAAAUUUGAGCAUGCAUCAUUGUUUGAAUAUUCGUUGUUGUAAAUUUUACCAUAUUCAUAGUACAAUCAAGAAUAUGUGACCAACAAAAUUCAACCGAAGUGGCUUGACAGUCAAAUCAACUGUAUCAAGGUAGUAAUUUAUCUCAGUGUUUUGUUACGCACGAGCCACCAUUUUAUCAUUCACUCUCAUUUGCUAGUAAAACCGUGCGGACAUUUUCUUUAACUCCUUUAAAAGUUGCGUAAAUUCAUGCGAAAAUGGAUAUAAAAGACGAUUCUGACGGAAAAUUGGUGGAGCUGAUUAUUACUAAUCCGGAGGAUAUCGAAUUAACCGAUGAUGCUGGUUCGGACGCUGGGGACAAUUACGAGCUUCUGCAGUUGAUAACCGAAACUUGGUGUUUGGAUCGAGUAGUUUAUGACAUACUGAUUGCCCAUGGAUAUACUUUGGAGUAUGCAAAAACUCUGGACGAAAAGGCUCUGAAUGAUGUGUUUUCAAUCACAAAAUGGACGGCUCAUAAACAUGCACUCCGCCAAAAACUAACGCUUUGGAAAGAAAGUGUACUUUUCCGUGAAGGCGACACAGAACCUGUAGCAAGCUGUAGCUACCAAGUUCCAGUUCAUAACAUGGCAACUUCAUCGGCAGCCGUAUCACCGCAACGUAAGCUGAUUCCGACAAGUGUUUCGAGAGCGUUAUUGGAUAAUAUUUUGGAGCGAAACGAGAAAGAAAAGAUCGUGGCAAAGUAUUAUCAAUUACACAGUCGACUUGACAAACAGCAUCGAAAGUUUUUGUCACAUACCAUUGUUGACUACUAUAUUGCGAAUCAGAAGUAUUUCGCACUUCCGGACAUGUCCAGAUUUGCAGAACUAAUCGCUGAACGUUUUCCAUCUGAAAUAGCUGUUACGUAUUACAAUCCCCGCAGCAACUCGGCAAAUAAGAAGCAUCCAUCAGGUAUGCUAUACGACCGGUUCUACAAUAGGAAGAAAACAUCUGCGUCAACAAUUUCAAGUGUUCCAUUAAUUGAACCAACCAUCCAUUCAGAGCAAGCUGCUUUGAAGAUAUCUGAGACAGAAAUUCGUCAUAUGGAGUCUAACAAAGUAUGGUUGCGGAAUAAUUGUGCGCCCGGUGAACAAGUUUUGAGUCGGUGGAAGCAGUCCGUUCAACUGCGGUUGAGAAGCAUUCAACACGAUAAGGAUAAAAACAAACCAACCGUUCUUUCUGAGUGGCCUCGUUAUUUGGACGAAGACGGAUACUUACUGGUUGAUGUGGACUUCGAUUUCCUUCGAUUUCCAGAAGGCAAAUGAGAAGAGCAAACUGUUCGACGAAUGGGAAUGGUUUUGUACCCAUUUUCUCAAAUACCUUUCGUCAGCUGAUGUCAAAGAUGAUUAUUCACGUCAGUUAAUUACCUCUAUUGAAGACGGUGAUUGUACACAAGAUCGGCUGCAGCAUCCGUGUGGAUAGGGUGGAAUUUAGGUUCUCCUGUUUGUCCCUUCAUUUUCUUUGUUAUAGUAUGAGAUCGAAGUAGAUUGUACACUCAGGCAAAAAUACUAUGAAUAUCCAUUAUUUUCCCUUAUGUUUAUUUGCCACAAGAAAUCGGUAAGUAUUUCAUUGAUUCACCUUAUGAAUUGAUCUGAAUCAUGCCAAUGGGGUGUCUUGCUCAUUUCAUAAAACAGCAUUAUGAAAAUUGAAAUGAUAAUUUAAGAAUUUCUUCUAUUAGCAGUAUAAACUACAUUAGUUUUUAUGACACUAAUUAUUAUUCCACAGUUCGUUUUUUAUACCUCGUGGACAAUACAACAAUUUUCAUUCUGAAUAUUUACAGAAUUUCCUAUGUGUUCAUCUACUUAAUAUUAGGUAACUGAUUUCCUAACGUGUGGAAAUCGAAUUUCCACCUACUUUGUCGUGUUGCUACUCGAUUUACAACAAUACGUAGUAAAGUACUGAUGCAUAUUGAGCUGCGACGCGACGAAGGAUAAAAAUUCGAUUUUAACACGUUUUAACAGCCAAAGCAAAACAGAUAAUAAUGAAAUAUGCAAUACAUCAGAACCCUCAUUCUCCUUUUAUUCAACUAAUUUUUCUUUUUCUAUUUUUUUUUUUACAAUUUCCACCUUUGUGCAUUGCCAUAGUUCCUUCCCCCGUAACUAGACAACUUAUUACCUUUGAAAACAUCCGAACAAAAUGAUGGUGCUUCCGUACAUAAAUCCGCAAUCAGCGUCCAAUACAAUGCUUCCAAUUGCAAAUUUUCAUAAUAACAACCUUAUGAGUUUUUCACACUAGUCACAGCUAUGUGAAUCAUAAGGUAGCCUAAUGAAAUUGAUACAUGUUAAUGAGGUCUAUCAUGCUUCACAAUUAUGCUUUUCAUCGAACUAAUAUGAAAUCCAUAAUAGCCUUAUGAAAGAUGGUAUCAUUGAGGAAAUGACUAAUGACGGCAAUGGAAAUCAUAAGGCGCGCAAUGAAAUUUGUAAAUGUUCAUUAUAAUUACCUAAUUUCUCAAUUAUGAUUACCAUUUUUACGAUAUGAAAUCCAUAUUAGCCUUCUGAAAUAGGUUUUUAUAGAUUUUUCAAUGCUUCAUAAGGGAAAAUUUAUGGAAUUCGUUAAUUAAUUUGCCUGAGUGUAUGAUAUGAUGAUGUAGUUAUGAAUAAAUCAAGUAACUAUCAAUCUUUAUGAGCUUUGACAAGGUAUGAUAAAAUGUAGGAGAUGGUCAAAAAGCCACCUGAAAAUUAUUGAGCUAUCAAACUAUUAGGAUAUUUUAUACGUAGCUAAUCUUCGGGAAAUUUAUGUAUAGUGUAUGUGUAUAGUGAGUGUAGGGAAGUAGUAUCGCACCCCCAAGCCCAUUCGAACUACAUCACUGGAUAAGACAAACCAACUGCGAACAUCAGCC